GGCUGAGCGACCAGACCCUCGGCCGCGAUGGCAGGAGACGCUCGCUCGUUCCACGUGCUCAGGUGCGGAAGAUUUUCCUUUCCAGGCUUUCUCGCAGCCACCUGAGUACAAUGUUGGGAAUACAUGUCUGUGGCACACCUAGGAACCAGCCCAUUGGUUACAGAACCAUGACUUCGAUGCUGAAUACAACUGGUAUAGAAUGAACAGUGUGUAGGUGGCUUGUACACACACUGCAGUGAGCUGUGUAUGGUUUGAACAGCUUUAACCCCUUCCCGAUGGAUGACCCUGAUAGGCGUGAAAACAAACCGCUCGAAAGCUGGCGUGCGGCUGUAUGCCGCGGCUGCGUGCCACAGCGCGGCGAGCCAGUGAUUUGGGCUGAUGUACCGAACUCACGCGCUCAAAGUCAGUGCGCCGCCUUUGUUUGCCAGAGCGUAGAGUAGGUUAAAUGGCUGGUAAUGAAGACCCACAUGAUGUAUGAGCAGCAUGUAGGUGGCUUGCACACACACGGCAGUGAGCUGUGUAUGGUUUGAACAGCUUUAAGUGGCCUGAAAACCUCUGGCAGUGACAGUGUAGGAUGAUGAGCAACUAUAUAUAUUACUAUAUGAAUGAUUUUCAUUUAUAUUUGUAUGUGAAAAUGAGAAAUGAGAAGUGUCAGUUCACUAAAAUUGUGAUAUAGUGCUUUAAUGCAAACCUAUUAACGCUUGUGAUUGAUGAAUGAUUAAGAAAACUUUUGAUAAAUGCAUUGUCAUGCAAUUGUGGACUGAGAACACCUUCAGAUGGUCCUGUAUUUUAUGAAAUAUCAACUUUUUACUAUUUUUUGUCAAAUGUAUCAAAUUGAAGUACUUUAGGAACAAAAUAGGGAACCUGAAAAUUUUGAAUUUUGUGUAAAAAUUGGCACUUCCAAAUUUCAUUUUCACUGAAUGUUUUUAUACUUUGGUUUUCAUACUUGUUCUAGAUCUAAAUUAUCUAAAUUCCUCUCUUGUAUAGGGUAUUUAAAAAUAAAUAUACACUGUCAA